CAGCCUGGCUCGUGGUUUCCCCUGGUGCCGGGGAGUGGAGGCGAGUUGUGCUUCCUGCUGGGAGAGAGAAGGGCCUUGGGAAGCUGCUCCAUGAGCCACAGCUGUGCCGAGCCCGGGAGUCUGUCCAGCAGGAUGUCGAGUGCCACCGUGUCCCUGAGGUUCCCCUUUCUGCUGUUGGGAGAGCGCGAGGUGGAUGGAGAGGAUCCCCAGGCAUCUGCAGGCAAAAGGGACUCGCACAACUGCGAUUUUCCUACAGCCCUCGUGAGAGGGACUUUGAGGGACGUGAAUGCAAGAACCUGCCAAGGAACCAAUGGCCAAGAUGAAUGAUGAGUGCAGGACCUGAGAGAACCCCCUUCAAUGACAACCUUAGGAUUAAAAGAUGGCUGUUGCUUUUGAAGGAGAAAAUCUGGAAAGCAGGAAGGAAGAAAAGAAGCCCCAUGACUCCUCCUGAGCCCCAGACAGCCCAUGAACUGCCUUGCUGGGAAUGGUAGGACAGGCUGGGCUCUGGAUUGCUCCCUCUGGAUAUGUGGUAAGACUGUUAUGCCAACUUCUCAAACAGCCUGUAAGCAUUUGCUGCCUUGGCUAGAUGGUGCAAGGGCAGCCUUUAAGCAGCUGAAGCAUUC